rnacentral:rRNA from 1 species
AGUGAACGCUGGCGGUAGGCCUAACACAUGCAAGUCGAACGGCAGCACAGUAAGAGCUUGCUCUUACGGGUGGCGAGUGGCGGACGGGUGAGGAAUACAUCGGAAUCUACUUUUUCGUGGGGGAUAACGUAGGGAAACUUACGCUAAUACCGCAUACGACCUACGGGUGAAAGCAGGGGAUCCUCGGACCUUGCGCGAUUGAAUGGGCCGAUGUCGGAUUAGCUAGUUGGCGGGGUAAAGGCCCACCAAGGCGACGAUCCGUAGCUGGUCUGAGAGGAUGAUCAGCCACACUGGAACUGAGACACGGUCCAGACUCCUACGGGAGGCAGCAGUGGGGAAUAUUGGACAAUGGGCGCAAGCCUGAUCCAGCCAUACCGCGUGGGUGAAGAAGGCCUUCGGGUUGUAAAGCCCUUUUGUUGGGAAAGAAAAGCAGCAGGUUAAUACCCCGCUGUUCUGACGGUACCCAAAGAAUAAGCACCGGCUAACUUCGUG